UACGGGGGGGGCAAGCGUUGCUCGGAAUCACUGGGCGUAAAGCGCACGUAGGCGGAUUGCUAAGUCAGGGGUGAAAUCCUGGAGCUCAACUCCAGAACUGCCUUUGAUACUGAGGAUCUCGAGUCCGGGAGAGGUGAGUGGAACUCUGAGUGUAGAGGUGAAAUUCGUAGAUAUUCGGAAGAACACCAGUGGCGAAGGCGGCUCACUGGCCCGGUACUGACGCUGAUGUGCGAAAGCGUGGGGAGCAAACAGG
rnacentral:rRNA from 1 species